UGGUGUCAGCCGCCGCGGUAAAACCAGCACCUCAAGUGGUCAGGAUGAUUAUUGGGCCUAAAGCAUCCGUAGCCGGCUCUGUAAGUUUUCGGUUAUAUCUGUACGCUCAACGUACAGGCUGCCGGGAAUACUGCAAAGCUAGGGAGUGGGAGAAGUAGACGGUACUCGGUAGGAAGUGGUAAAAUGCUUUGAUCUAUCGAUGACCACCUGUGGCGAAGGCGGUCUACUAGAACACGUCCGACGGUGAGGGAUGAAAGCUGGGGGAGCAAACCGGAUUAGAUACCCGGGUAGUCCCAGCUGUAAACUAUGCAAACUCAGUGAUGCAUUGGCUUGUGGCCAAUGCAGUGCUGCAGGGAAGCCGUUAAGUUUGCCGCCUGGGAAGUACGUACGCAAGUAUGAAACUUAAAGGAAUUGGCGGGGGAGCACCACAAGGGGUGAAGCCUGCGGUUC
rnacentral:rRNA from 1 species